ensembl:lncRNA
GCUGCAUCUUUGGGGAUCAGGAAUGGCCCCAUAAAACAUAGAGGGCCUUGGCUGCGUCUUUGGGGUUCACGAAUGACCCCAUAAAACAUAGAGGGCCUUGGCUGCGUCUUUGGGGUUCAGGAAUGACCCCAUAAAACAUAGAGGGCCUUGGCUGCGUCUUUGGGGUUCAGGAAUGACCCCAUAAAACAUAGAGGGCCUUGGCUGCAUCUUUGGGGAUCAGGAAUGGCCCCAUAAAACAUAGAGGGCCUUGGCUGCGUCUUUGGGGUUCACGAAUGACCCCAUAGGACACAAAGGCAAUCUGCGUCCCCAGUUGGGUUCCCAUACGAGCCCAUAAGACACAAAGGCAAUUGGGGUCACCACUUGGGUUCCCAUAUGACCCCAUAAGGACACAAAGGGCCUUGGCUGCAUCUUUGGGGUUCACGAAUGACCCCAUAAAACAUAGAGGGCCUUGGCUGCAUCUUUGGGGUUCAGGAAUGACCCCAUAGGACACACAAAGGCAAUCGGGGUCACCAUGUGGGUCCCAGUAUGACCCCAUAGGACCAGUUCUCCCCCGAAGCUCCAUGGGGCUGAACCCACAAUCCUUCCCCGCUCACCCCACAAUUCCCAAACCAUAAAGUCCCCACCAUAGAGCCCCAUAGGAUUUUGGGGGACCCCCACCAUAGAGCCCCAUAGGGUUUUGGGGGACCCCCAGCAAAGGAUUUAGGGGGGUCCCUGCCAUAGGGCCCCAUAGGAUUUAGAGGGACCCCCAGCAAAGGAUUUGGGACAGGGGUCUCCACCAUAAGAGUUCCUAAGAAUUUAGGGGGACCCCCACUAUAGGAUUUUUGGGGGACCCCACCAUACAGCCCCAUAGGAUCUGGGGGGACCCCCACCACAAUGCCCCGUAGGAUUUGGGGGGGACCCCACAAUGACAUUCCAUAGGAUUUGGGGGUAUCCUUUAUUAUGGGGGGGAGGAGGGGGGGUCCCAGUGCCCCCACCCCAUACGUGGGGGAUCCUCCCCUAUUCACAGGGAGGUGGGGGGGUCCUGUUGCCCCCUCCCCAAUUAAGAAGGGGUCCCUAUUUG